rnacentral:lncRNA from 1 species
UCUUUUUAUAAACUAUCUCUCUAGGACCUUCUAGUAGGCGAAAGGGCUCAGACGUGAAAUCUGCCUGUUUCUCAUACUGAAAAGCUACGUGCAUAUGUCUCUUACUCUCGAAUGGUUUCUCUCCAGUUUCACCUGUGAGAUGCAUUUGUGAAAGGGAGUGACCAUUGGUGCCUCUUGCCCACAUACUGGUUUCAUACACUGCUAAUGCAGAAGACAUGUCCUUGUUAACAACAUAUCCUGGAAUCCGGUGGUGGGCUUCUCCAUGCUGAGAACCAUCUUCAGAUUUACAAUCUCUCUCAAUCGUCUGAGUUCUGCAAAAUAUGAAAAGGGCAUACUUAAUAUCUUAUGAUUAGCCAAGAGAAGCACCAGGGGCUGGGAGCUGUGGCUCACGUUGUUAACUCCUGUUAAUAGAGUGGUUGCAGGAGCAGAGUAACACCAGCUGGAGGCCCCAUCGAAAGAGCCUGUUCUAAGUGUUGAGUUUACUCUUAUAAGGACUUUUUCUUCAGGACUUUGGCCCCUUGUGGGUUGCCCAUGCUCAUUAAAAUAGCCUGCACCCAUUCCUAUAGAAGUAAUACUAAUGAGAUCCCAUGGGCUAUGUAAAAUAACAAAAACAAAGUUAAAAAAAAAAAAGAAAGAA